rnacentral:rRNA from 1 species
CCAAGGAGUCUAACAUGUGCGCGAGUCGUAGGGUUACGCUCAAAGCCCGAAGGCGCAAUGAAAGUGAAGGUCGGCCUCGAUUGCCGUUACCUAGGCGGGAUCCGUUCGGGCUUACCGGUCGUUCGCGGCUGAGCCCGGCGGCGCACCGCCGGCCCGUCUCGACCGCAUCGCCGGUGAGGCGGAGCGAGAGCGUACACGUUGGGACCCGAAAGAUGGUGAACUAUGCCCGGGCAGGACGAAGCCAGAGGAAACUCUGGUGGAGGUCCGUAGCGAUUCUGACGUGCAAAUCGAUCGUCGGACCUGGGUAUAGGGGCGAAAGACUAAUCGAACCAUCUA